rnacentral:rRNA from 1 species
CGUGUAGGCGGCUUGGUAAGUCAGAUGUGAAAGCCCUGGGCUCAACCCAGGAAGUGCAUUUGAAACUACUAGACUUGAGUACGGGAGAGGAGGGGGGAAUUCCCGGUGUAGAGGUGAAAUUCGUAGAUAUCGGGAGGAAUACCGGUGGCGAAGGCGCCUCUCUGGACCGAUACUGACGCUGAGACGCGAAAGCGUGGGGAGCAAACA